rnacentral:rRNA from 1 species
GACGAACGCUGGCGGCGUGCUUAACACAUGCAAGUCGAGCGGUAAGGCCCUUUCGGGGGUACACGAGCGGCGAACGGGUGAGUAACACGUGGGUGACCUGCCCUCAGCUCUGGGAUAAGCCUGGGAAACCGGGUCUAAUACUGGAUAUGACUCCAUGACGCAUGUUGUGGGGUGGAAAGCCUUGUGCGGCUGAGGAUGGGCCCGCGGCCUAUCAGCUUGUUGGUGGGGUGAUGGCCUACCAAGGCGACGACGGGUAGCCGGCCUGAGAGGGCGACCGGCCACACUGGGACUGAGACACGGCCCAGACUCCUACGGGAGGCAGCAGUGGGGAAUCUUGCGCAAUGGGCGAAAGCCUGACGCAGCGACGCCGCGUGAGGGAUGACGGCCUCGGUGUAACU